CAAGCAUCAUCAUUCAAUAGUCGUGCGUGAACCUGGUCAGGUCUUGAUUGAAGCAGCCAUAAGCGUAUGGAUUAUGUGGAUGAUGAUGCUUGAUG
rnacentral:SRP_RNA from 1 species